AUGGACGAAAGUCUGACCGAGCAACGCCGCGUGAGUGAAGAAGGUUUUCGGAUCGUAAAGCUCUGUUGUAAGUCAAGAACGUGUGUGAGAGUGGAAAGUUCACACAGUGACGGUAGCUUACCAGAAAGGGACGGCUAACUACGUGCCAGCAGCCGCGGUAAUACGUAGGCCCCGAGCGUUGUCCGGAUUUAUUGGGCGUAAAGGGAGCGCAGGCGGUCAGGAAAGUCUGGAGUAAAAGGCUAUGGCUCAACCAUAGUGUGCUCUGGAAACUGUCUGACUUGAGUGCAGAAGGGGAGAGUGGAAUUCCAUGUGUAGCGGUGAAAUGCGUAGAUAUAUGGAGGAACACCAGUGGCGAAAGCGGCUCUCUGGUCUGUCACUGACGCUGAGGCUCGAAAGCGUGGGUAGCGAACAGGAUUAGAUACCCUGGUAGUCCACGCCGUAAACGAUGAGUGCUAGGUGUUAGGCCCUUUCCGGGGCUUAGUGCCGGAGCUAACGCAAUAAGCACUCCGCCUGGGGAGUACGACCGCAAGGUUGAAACUCAAAGGAAUUGACGGGGGCCCGCACAGC
rnacentral:rRNA from 1 species